AGUGAACGCUGGCGGUAGGCCUAACACAUGCAAGUCGAACGGCAGCACAGUAAGAGCUUGCUCUUACGGGUGGCGAGUGGCGGACGGGUGAGGAAUACAUCGGAAUCUACUUUUUCGUGGGGGAUAACGUAGGGAAACUUACGCUAAUACCGCAUACGACCUACGGGUGAAAGCAGGGGAUCUUCGGACCUUUCGCGAUUGAAUGAGCCGAUGUCGGAUUAGCUAGUUGGCGGGGUAAAGGCCCACCAAGGCGACGAUCCGUAGCUGGUCUGAGAGGAUGAUCAGCAAAACUGGAACUGAGACACGGUCCAGACUCCUACGGGAGGCAGCAGUGGGGAAUAUUGGACAAUGGGCGCAAGCCUGAUCCAGCAAUACCGCGUGGGUGAAGAAGGCCUUCGGGUUGUAAAGCCCUUUUGUUGGGAAAGAAAAGCAGCAGGUUAAUACCCCGCUGUUCUGACGGUACCCAAAGAAUAAGCACCGGCUAACUUCGUG
rnacentral:rRNA from 1 species